rnacentral:rRNA from 1 species
UACAGAGGGUGCGAGCGUUAAUCGGAGUUACUGGGCGUAAAGGGCGCGUAGGCGGUUUAAUAAGAUUGAUGUGAAAUCCCUGGGCUUAACCUAGGAACUGCAUCGAUGACUGUUAAGCUAGAGUAUUGUAGAGGGUAGUGGAAUUUCCGGUGUAGCGGUGAAAUGCGUAGAGAUCGGAAGGAACACCAGUGGCGAAGGCGGCUACCUGGACAAAUACUGACGCUGAGGCGCGAGAGCGUGGGGAGCAAACAGG